GAAAGUAAGUAAGGGCGUAUGGGGGAUGCCUAGGCUCUUGGAGGCUAAGAAGGACGUGGUAAGCUGCGAAAAGCUGCGGGGAUUUGCAAACGAGACUCGAUCCGCAGAUAUCCGAAUGGGACAACCCGGCAGGUAGAAGACCUGUCACACCGCGAGGUGAGCUAACCCUCUGAACUGAAACAUCUAAGUAGGAGGAGGAAAAGAAAGAAACAUCGAUUUCCAAAGUAGCGGCGAGCGAAAUGGAAGAAGCCCAAACCGAUAUUGUUACGGCAAUAUCGGGGUUGUAGGACUGCAAUAUUCAAUUAACAAUGAACUGGAAUGGUCUGGAAAGUCCAUCCAUAGAGAGUGAAAGGCUCGUACAGGUAAGUUUGUUAUGCGAAAGCAGUAUCCUGAGUAUGGCGGGACACGAGGAAUCCUGUCAGAAUCAGCCGGGACCACCCGGUAAGGCUAAAUACUCCCAAGAGACCGAUAGUGGACCAGUACUGUGAAGGAAAGGUGAAAAGAACCCCGAACAGGGGAGUGAAAUAGAACCUGAAACCAUACGCUUACAACCGGUCGGAGCAGCUUCGUGCUGUGACGGCGUGCCUAUUGAAUAAUGAGCCUACGAGUUACUAAUCACUAGCGAGGUUAAGUGCAAGGAUGCACGGAGCCGAAGCGAAAGCGAGUCUGAACAGGGCGUUUAGUUAGUGGUUGUAGACGCGAAACCUUGCGAUCUACCCUUGAGCAGGUUGAAGGUUGGGUAAAACCAACUGGAGGACCGAACGAAUAAGCGUUGAAAAGCUUCUCGAUGACUUGAGGGUAGGGGUGAAAGGCUAAUCAAGCUGGGAAAUAGCUCGUACUCCCCGAAAUGCCUUUUGGGGCAGCGUUGUAAUAAAGAGUCUACUGGAGGUAGAGCUACUGAUUGGAUGCGGGGGCUUCACCGCCUACCAAAUCCUGACAAACUCCGAAUGCCAGUAGUAUGAUUUACAGCAGUGAGUGACUGGGUGCUAAUGUCCAGUCGCAAAAGAGGAACAACUCAGACCAGCAACUAAGGUCCCGAAGAAUAUGCUAAGUUGAUCUAACGAUGUUUUGUUGCAGAGACAGCUAGGAUGUUAGCUUGGAAGCAGCUAUUCAUUCAAAGAGUGCGUAACAGCUCACUAGUCGAGCGACAGAGCGUGGAUAAUAAACGGGCAUCAAGCAUAUCACCGAAGUUCUGGGCGCGAGAGCGCGGUAGGGGAGCAUUCCAUUCAGCGUCGAAGCAGUUUCGUGAGGAAUUGUGGAGCGUAUGGAAAAGCAAAUGUAGGCAUGAGUAACGAUAAUGCGGGAGAGUAACCCGCACACCGCAAGACCAAGGUUUCCUGAUCAACGCUAAUCGGAUCAGGGUUAGUCGGGUCCUAAGGGUAAGCCGAACGGUGAUCUCGAUGGAUAAUCGGUUAAUAUUCCGAUACUGACAUAUACCUCGAUGGAGAGACGAAGGAACGUAAGUGCCGCCACCUGACGGAAUAGGUGGUUAAAGGGCGUAGGUAUAGGGGCAGAUUAAGAGUUAGUCCUUGCUGAAACCUGACAGUACAGAGAGCCUACGGGCAAUUUGAUAGUGCACCCAAGUCGACUUCCGAGAAAAUCUUCUAAGUUAUAGUAUAUGUUACCCGUACCGUAAACCGACACAGGUGGUCGAGGAGAGUAUCCUAAGGUGCUCGAGUGAAUCACGGUUAAGGAACUAGGCAAAUUAACCCCGUAACUUCGGGAAAAGGGGUCCCUAUGAAAGUAGGGCGCAGCGAAGAGGUCCAGGCGACUGUUUAUCAAAAACACAGGGCUCUGCAAAUUCGAAAGAAGACGUAUAGGGCCUGACACCUGCCCGGUGCUGGAAGGUUAAGAGGGGAUGUCAUCGCAAGAGAAGCAUUGAAUCGAAGCCCCAGUAAACGGCGGCCGUAACUAUAACGGUCCUAAGGUAGCGAAAUUCCUUGUCGGGUAAGUUCCGACCUGCACGAAUGGUGUAA
rnacentral:rRNA from 1 species